rnacentral:rRNA from 1 species
CGCGUAGGUGGGAUAGUCAGUCUGUCUUAAAAGUGCGGGGCUCAACCCCGUGAUGGGGCGGAAACUGCUAUUCUUGAGUGCAGGAGAGGAAAGCGGAAUUCCCAGUGUAGCGGUGAAAUGCGUGGAUAUUGGGAGGAACACCAGUGGCGAAGGCGGCUUUCUGGACUGUGUCUGACACUGAGGCGCGAAAGCUAGGGGAGCGAACGGGAUUAGAUACCCCGGUAGUCCUAGCCGUAAACGAUGGGUACUAGGUGUAGGGGGUAUCGACCCCUCCUGUGCCGGAGUUAACGCAAUAAGUACCCCGCCUGGGGAGUACGGCCGCAAGGUUGAA